rnacentral:rRNA from 1 species
UACGUAGGGUGCGAGCGUUGUCCGGAAUUACUGGGCGUAAAGAGCUCGUAGGCGGUCUGUCGCGUCGGCUGUGAAAACACGGGGCUCAACUCCGUGCCUGCAGUCGAUACGGGCAGACUAGAGUUCGGUAGGGGAGACUGGAAUUCCUGGUGUAGCGGUGAAAUGCGCAGAUAUCAGGAGGAACACCGGUGGCGAAGGCGGGUCUCUGGGCCGAUACUGACGCUGAGGAGCGAAAGCGUGGGGAGCGAACAGG